CUUGACCGAACCGAGCAGCAGCGGCUGAUCGGCCGACCGCUCCUGGCCGUACGUCGCCAGCAGCGCCUGCGCCUC
rfam:Streptomyces sp. Mg1, complete genome.